CACAUGUUGAGUACUUCACAUCCAUAGCUGAUCUUCCCUGGGCCUACCUGUGUGGAGUAGCUGGACUCUUACUUGCGUUCAAUAUUCUGGUGAAUUUUGGCAUUGCUAUUACAUACCCUACACUGAUUUCACUUGGCAUUGUGCUGAGUGUCCCAGUCAAUGCAAUGGUGGACCUGUACACCUGUGAUAUCCACUUCAACACAGUGCGACUCAUCGCUGUGUUCAUCAUCUGUCUGGGCUUCCUGAUGCUGCUGUUACCAGAGGACUGGGAUCAGUGUUUGAUUGAGCUCAGCACCAAACUCAGAAAGCGGGAACAACCUGUUGAGCCGGCUGAGACUGCAACCAGCUCAGGACUCAAAUGGACCCGACGGGCCAGGACCUCCAUGUCCACAUUUUCCCACUGACACGCAUUUACCUUUUCCCGUUCAAAGUCCAGUGACUGGACGAUGCUGGAAAUAGUAUUCAUUCCAUAAUAUUUCUCAGUCAACAAGGCUCCAUAGGCCAUAAUUUACCAUCGUGCACAUUACAACAGAAGCUUUCUGAAAGCAAAUCAUGUUUUGCAGUUCUCCCAACUGUAAGUGGAUUUGAACAAUGACUUGGGUCUUUAUUUGAAACUCAAGAGCGGGGGUCUCAAACUACCAACAUACGGGCCAUUGGGUUAAUAGUUUAUCUUUAAAUGCAGCCCAUA
rnacentral:lncRNA from 1 species